AUUGAACGCUGGCGGCAUGCCUUACACAUGCAAGUCGAACGGUAACAGGUCUUCGGAUGCUGACGAGUGGCGAACGGGUGAGUAAUACAUCGGAACGUGCCCAGACGUGGGGGAUAACGAGGCGAAAGCUUUGCUAAUACCGCAUACGAUCUAAGGAUGAAAGCAGGGGACCGCAAGGCCUUGUGCGUUUGGAGCGGCCGAUGGCAGAUUAGGUAGUUGGUGGGAUAAAAGCUUACCAAGCCGACGAUCUGUAGCUGGUCUGAGAGGACGACCAGCCACACUGGGACUGAGACACGGCCCAGACUCCUACGGGAGGCAGCAGUGGGGAAUUUUGGACAAUGGGCGAAAGCCUGAUCCAGCAAUGCCGCGUGCAGGAUGAAGGCCUUCGGGUUGUAAACUGCUUUUGUACGGAGCGAAAAGGCUCUGGCUAAUACCUGGGGCACAUGACGGUACCGUAAGAAUAAGCACCGGCUAACUACGUG
rnacentral:rRNA from 1 species